GAUGAACGCUGGCGGCGUGCCUAAUACAUGCAAGUCGAGCGAACAGACGAGGAGCUUGCUCCUCUGACGUUAGCGGCGGACGGGUGAGUAACACGUGGAUAACCUACCUAUAAGACUGGGAUAACUUCGGGAAACCGGAGCUAAUACCGGAUAACAUAUUGAACCGCAUGGUUCAAUAGUGAAAGACGGUUUUGCUGUCACUUAUAGAUGGAUCCGCGCCGCAUUAGCUAGUUGGUAAGGUAACGGCUUACCAAGGCAACGAUGCGUAGCCGACCUGAGAGGGUGAUCGGCCACACUGGAACUGAGACACGGUCCAGACUCCUACGGGAGGCAGCAGUAGGGAAUCUUCCGCAAUGGGCGAAAGCCUGACGGAGCAACGCCGCGUGAGUGAUGAAGGUCUUCGGAUCGUAAAACUCUGUUAUUAGGGAAGAACAAAUGUGUAAGUAACUAUGCACGUCUUGACGGUACCUAAUCAGAAAGCCACGGCUAACUACGCG
rnacentral:rRNA from 1 species